rnacentral:rRNA from 1 species
GACGAACGCUGGCGGCGUGCUUAACACAUGCAAGUCGAACGGUGAAAGCGGAGCUUGCUCCGCUGGAUCAGUGGCGAACGGGUGAGUAACACGUGGGCAACCUGCCCCUCACUUCGGGAUAACUCCGGGAAACCGGGGCUAAUACCGGAUAUGACCUCCUUGGGCAUCCUUGGAGGUGGAAAGUUUUUCGGUGAGGGAUGGGCCCGCGGCCUAUCAGCUUGUUGGUGAGGUAGUGGCUCACCAAGGCGACGACGGGUAGCCGGCCUGAGAGGGCGACCGGCCACACUGGGACUGAGACACGGCCCAGACUCCUACGGGAGGCAGCAGUAGGGAAUCUUCCGCAAUGGACGAAAGUCUGACGGAGCAACGCCGCGUGAGUGAUGAAGGCUUUCGGGUCGUAAAACUCUGUUGUUAGGGAAGAACAAGUGCUAGUUGAAUAAGCUGGCACCUUGACGGUACCUAACCAGAAAGCACCGGCUAACUUCGUGCCAGCAGCCGCGGUAA